AGAACGAACGCUGGCGGCAUGCCUAAUACAUGCAAGUCGAACGAACUCUUCGGAGUUAGUGGCGCACGGGUGCGUAACGCGUGGGAAUCUGCCCCUUGGUUCGGAAUAACAGUUGGAAACGACUGCUAAUACCGGAUGAUGACGAAAGUCCAAAGAUUUAUCGCCAAGGGAUGAGCCCGCGUAGGAUUAGCUAGUUGGUGAGGUAAAGGCUCACCAAGGCGACGAUCCUUAGCUGGUCUGAGAGGAUGAUCAGCCACAUUGGAACUGAGACACGGUCCAGACUCCUACGGGAGGCAGCAGUGGGGAAUAUUGGACAAUGGGCGCAAGCCUGAUCCAGCCAUACCGCGU
rnacentral:rRNA from 1 species